GAUGAACGCUGGCGGCGUGCCUAAUACAUGCAAGUCGAGCGAACAGACGAGGAGCUUGCUCCUCUGACGUUAGCGGCGGACGGGUGAGUAACACGUGGAUAACCUACCUAUAAGACUGGGAUAACUUCGGGAACCCGGAGCUACUACCGGAUAAUAUAUUGAACCGCAUGGUUCAAUAGAGAAAGACGGCUUUGCUGUCCCUUAUAGAUUGUUCCGCGCAGGAUUAGCUAGUGGGUAAGGUAACGGUUUACCAAGGCAAAGGUGCGUAGCCGACCUGGGGGGGAGAUCGGGCACACCGGAACUGAGACACGGUCCAGACUCCUACGGGAGGCAGCAGUAGGGAAUCUUCCGCAAUGGGCGAAAGCCUGACGGAGCAACGCCGCGUGAGUGAUGAAGGUCUUCGGAUCGUAAAACUCUGUUAUUAGGGAAGAACAAAUGUGUAAGUAACUAUGCACGUCUUGACGGUACCUAAUCAGAAAGCCACGGCUAACUACGUG
rnacentral:rRNA from 1 species